CCCUUAGAUGUCCUGGGCCGCACGCGCGUUACACUGAUGCAUUCAACGAGUACUACCUUGGCCGAGAGGCCUGGGCAAUCUUUUAAACGUGCAUCGUGAUAGGGAUAGAUUAUUGCAAUUAUUAAUCUUGAACGAGGAAUUCCUAGUAAACGCAAGUCAUUAACUUGCAUUGAUUGCGUCCCUGCCCUUUGUACACACCGCCCGUCGCACCUACCGAUUGAAUGGUCCGGUGAAGUCCUCGGACCCAGUUGAACCUCGAGUUGAACAGGGAAAGUUGACUAAAUCUUACCAUUUAGAGGAAGGUGAAGUCGUAACA
rnacentral:rRNA from 1 species